AUUGAACGCUGGCGGCAGGCUUAACACAUGCAAGUCGAGCGGAGAUGAGGUGCUUGCACCUUAUCUUAGCGGCGGACGGGUGAGUAAUGCUUAGGAAUCUGCCUAUUAGUGGGGGACAACAUUCCGAAAGGAAUGCUAAUACCGCAUACGUCCUACGGGAGAAAGCAGGGAAUCUUCGGACCUUGCGCUAAUAGAUGAGCCUAAGUCGGAUUAGCUAGUUGGUGGGGUAAAGGCCUACCAAGGCGACGAUCUGUAGCGGGUCUGAGAGGAUGAUCCGCCACACUGGGACUGAGACACGGCCCAGACUCCUACGGGAGGCAGCAGUGGGGAAUAUUGGACAAUGGGGGGAACCCUGAUCCAGCCAUGCCGCGUGUGGGAAGAAGGCCUUAUGGUUGUAAAGCACUUUAAGCGAGGAGGCUACUGAGACUAAUACUCUUGGAUAGUGGACGUUACUCGCAGAAUAAGCACCGGCUAACUCUGUGCCAGCCGCCGCGGUAA
rnacentral:rRNA from 1 species